GAUGAAGAACGUAGCGAAAUGCGAUAAGUAAUGUGAAUUGCAGAAUUCAGUGAAUCAUCGAAUCUUUGAACGCACAUUGCGCCCGCCAGCACUCUGGCGGGCAUGCCUGUUCGCGCGUCAUUUCAACCAUCAAGCCCCCAGGGGCUUGUGCUGGGGCCCUGCGGCUGCCCGCAGGCCCUGAAAACCAGUGGCGGGCUCGCUAGUCACACCGAGCGCAGUAGCACAUCUCGCUCAGGGCGUGCGGCGGGCUCCUGCCGUGAAACCCCCCACUGUAACCCCAAAGGUUGACCUCGGAUCAGGUAGGAAUACCCGCUGAACUUAAGCAUAUCAAUAAGCGGAGGA
rnacentral:misc_RNA from 1 species